UACGUAGGUGGCAAGCGUUGUCCGGAUUUACUGGGCGUAAAGAGCGCGCAGGCGGUCGAGUAAGUCGAAUGUGAAAGCCCCCGGCUUAACUGGGGAGGGUCAUUCGAUACUGUUCGACUUGAAGGCAGGAGAGGGCAGCAGAAUUCCCGGUGUAGUGGUGAAAUGCGUAGAUAUCGGGAGGAAUACCAGUGGCGAAGGCGGCGACCUGGGCCAAUACUGACGCUGAGGUGCGAAAGCGUGGGGAGCAAACAGG
rnacentral:rRNA from 1 species